rnacentral:rRNA from 1 species
ACGAACGCUGGCGGCGUGCUUAACACAUGCCAGUCGAACGGAAAGGCCCUGCUUUUGUGGGGUGCUCGAGUGGCGAACGGGUGAGUAACACGUGAGUAACCUGCCCGUGACUUUGGGAUAACUUCAGGAAACUGGGGCUAAUACCGGAUAGGAGCUCCUGCCGCAUGGUGGGGGUUGGAAAGUUUCGGCGGUUGGGGAUGGACUCGCGGCUUAUCAGCUUGUUGGUGGGGUAGUGGCUUACCAAGGCUUUGACGGGUAGCCGGCCUGAGAGGGUGACCGGCCACAUUGGGACUGAGAUACGGCCCAGACUCCUACGGGAGGCAGCAGUGGGGAAUAUUGCACAAUGGGCGGAAGCCUGAUGCAGCAACGCCGCGUGCGGGAUGACGGCCUUCGGGUUGUAAACCGCUUUCGCCUGUGACGAAGCGUGAGUGACGGUAAUGGGUAAAGAAGCACCGGCUAACUACGUG